UAGACGGAAGCCUGUAGGGCUGAGGCAUCUAGCUGUUAACUAGAAUUUUGUGGGAUCGAGGCCCACCUGUCUAG
rnacentral:tRNA from 1 species